AUCAUAUAUACCAUUUUAACCAUUUUAAAGUGUUACAUUUUCCAAAAAUGUGCAGUUCAGUGGUAUUAAGUACCUUCACAUUGUGGGACAACCAUCACUACUGUCCUUUCCAGAACUUUUUCGUCUUCCCCAACUGAAACCCUGUCCCCAUCACUUACUCCGCCCUCCUCCCUCCUCCAGCCCCAGGCAAUCACCGUUCUAGUUUCUGUCUCUGUGGAUUUGACAACUGUAGGUGCCAGUUUGUCCUGUUUCAUCUAUUCUCCAGUUUCUUGAAGAGGGCUGGAAAAUGCUUUUGGCUCCUUGUGUGUCAAGGCCUCUCAAUUGGGCAAAGCACUCCAGACCUUUGGAAGAGUGACUCCAAAGGCAAGCACCUGCUUGGCAGGCCCCUCAGUUUCUACGCAAGUAUAAGUCUCCCAAGUACUAGAAUGCAGAGUUUCCUGGCUAUGGGAUAAGUACAACUUGGACCAAAAUGCCCUGUAUUAAUGAAAUCAAACUUACUCAUCCCAGAAAGCACUGUCUGCUAUUCUGGAAGAUGCCUGGUCACGCUCAGAGGAUGAAAGGGCUCCCAUAAAUAUAAUAUGUUAUCAUUAUCUUAAAUAUAUUUAUAAAUACAUAUAUAAAUAAUAAUUUAAAAACAUUUCGUGCUUUGCCUUCAUCUUGAGGCUCAGGUUCAAGAAGUAUUUUACCAAAAUGACCUCCCUGAUUAGCAUAAAAAACUGUUGUGGCAGGAAGGCUUAGGUAUUAUUCACUCCAUUUUGAAAAUGAUAAAACCGAGGUCCCAGAAACUUAUGCUAUUUGAGUAAGAGUUCAUUAGCAACUUAAAAGUAGAAGCAAACAGUUGAAAUGAAAUACUAGGUCCGUGGCUUCUUAUUUCAACUGCUAUUGUGCAUAUUUCUUAGUUUUCUUUUGCCUUAAUUUGCCCAUCUGUAAUAUGGGUAGAGUCUUUUUGGUAGCCGUAGUCAGUAGCUCUGGUCCUCCUAAGAUUGUUAUGAAGAAUAAUAAUUAAAAUGAUUGGUACUAUGCAAAAUAUAGGGUGUUCUUUAAAUAACAAACAACAUUAUAUGUUAGUGUUGGUUCCACUAGACAUUGCUCCUCUCUUACAAAGAGUGUAAACAUUCAUUUAGAAUUACAAGGCUCAGUACACGCGCAGCAAAUGACUACAGUAAAGGAUUUAGCUUUUUCAUAUACAUGGUACAUAUGAACUGUCAACACUGCACAAGUGAGCAGACUCCAGACCUAAGCCUGGUUUUCCAGUAUCUGAAAGUCAGUGAUAGAGGGUAGCCCCUUUGCCAAGCACACCCAAUUGUCAUGCUUUGUGGCAAUAAACAAGUUUGGAUGGGCAACUGAUAUGAAGUAGUUCUUAGUGCCAUGAGUUUCCCAGAAGAAGAGGAAGUUGGUCUCACUACCUGUGAUGGUUUUGGGUAUCUCAGGCAUCUCCUAUGAAGAAAAGAAGAGAAUUCUGUUAGAGAGCAAGAUGUUAGAAAAAGGACUGAAGCUCAAUCCCUUGGCAUUUGGCCUUCAUGAGAAACAGCACUUUAGGACUAUGGCUGUAACAUGAUGCUAUAGGCUCUUCAUUCAUUUGUUCAUUCAACAAGCAUUUGUUACGUGCCUAGUAGAUGUGUGGCCCAGUCUAUUAAUGAGAGUUGAUUUCCUUAGUUGAUUAGAGAGAGAUCUAAAUUAGUUAUGAAGAUUACUGGGGACACUAGUAUCUCACUGUAUCCAGGCAAGUAGGAGGGAAACAUUGUUUCUGUCCUGCCUUCAACAUAGGCCUAAGGCAUUUUGCAUCAAAUCUGAGCACUGGUGAUUCUAAGCCCCCUCAACAUUUUGAUCUCCAAAUGAACAAAUGAUACCUUUGGGAGAUCAAUUUAGCAUUUAGAUGACAUUUAUCUCAGUAUUUAAGUCAACAAUUGAAGGUUAAACACACACACACACACACACACGCACACACAAAAUUCCUAAGUAUAUCAGUAACUAAACUCUUUCAAUAUACUCUGUUCAGAGUGUACUUUUCUUGUGAGUAUGAGUAGAAUUUAACAAUGCUUUUAUGGAAAAAUAGAUUUCAAAUUCCAAGUUGAGAUGCUUCUUUCCUACUCUUUAAAAUCUAAAGCAAGUAAACAUACUUUUGAGGCUUCCUUGGGGUUUCCAAUGUCAGCAGGAUUUAUUUCCCAAACCUAUUCCUCUCCUACUUUUUCCCUUCUCGUAAAUGAUAUUUCUCCUCUUCCUUCUGUUGGUUCUAUCUCCAAAAUAUAACCCAAUUCUGCCUGUUUCUUUCCACUUCUUUUCCUUACCCCACCCCCAUGACUGCCGUUAAACCUCCUCAUUGGACUUUCUGCUUUCUCUAUUGCCUUCCUUCUGAUCUGUUUUCUAUUUUAGGAAGUAUAAGUGAGGUCAGGGCAUUGCACUGUCUGAAACCCAUUAAUGGCUUUUCAUUGUACCUCAAAUGAAAUCCAAAUGCAAGCUCUAGUCUCUGCAUAUUUUUUCUCCUUCUCAAAAUGCCCCAGUUCCA